GUGUUCACUUUGGAAGUUCAUAUACUGAAACUGGAAAAAUGCAGAUUAUUAGCAUGGCCCCUUUACAAAAAUGACACCCAAGUUCAUGAAGCAUUCCAAUUAAAA
ensembl:snRNA U6 U6 spliceosomal RNA